ensembl:lncRNA
UACAGCUUUUUAAAUAACAUCAUGUAAGCUGAGGAAAUAAUGUACUGUAAAAAAAUUUUUUAUAUAGUGCAUAUAGUCCAAUAUUCAUUCUAGGGAAUCAGUUCAUUUGGUCGAUUCAUGUAUAUUAUUGUUUAGCUGUAUUUGAUGUAUAUUUGUCUUACCAGGUUUAAUGCUGUCUCCCUAAUUCAUACAUUGAAACAAAUCCCUUGUUUUUUAUUCCAGAAAAACACAGCUUUGAUUAUAUAUUACAUUGCCCAUUGCAAGUUAGCCGCUGUUAGUAGUUUGUAGUGUGGUCGCUUUUCCAAAGGUUGACUGUAGUUUAGCUACUUCAGACGUUGUUAAAUUUGUAACUUGGCAAGAUAAAGUUUCAAAGCAGCUUUCCAACAUACUGAUGCCGUUGGGAAUAAACUGUGGUUAAAAGAAAUGACUUUUACACCUAAUUUAAUUUGGACAUACACUCUUAAUUAUUUUAGACUAACUGUUUAUCACAAUUUGUGUACAGGUGGUUUUCAGGAGACACAUGGGGAUCUGCAGCCUCCUGUGAAGAAAGUGUCAUUUCCGUCUCACACGGCUUCACCGCGCUCAAGUAGAGAAGACGGUUCAAUCCAAGGAGGUCUGUGAUACCUGGAAAGAGCUAUCCGUUAGUGUUCCCAUUCAUCUCAAUGGCAGUUCCUCAGUUCCUCAUUUGGUGCAGGACCUCCAAGAAUCUGCAAUCUGCUGCCAGGUUGUUUGAGCCAUAAAUGAGGUAAUUGAGGUUUUAAAAAA